UGAGGAAUAUUGGACAAUGGGUGAGAGCCUGAUCCAGCCAUCCCGCGUGAAGGACGACGGCCCUAUGGGUUGUAAACUUCUUUUGUAUAGGGAUAAACCUUUCCACGUGUGGAAAGCUGAAGGUACUAUACGAAUAAGCACCGGCUAACUCCGUGCCAGCAGCCGCGGUAAUACGGAGGGUGCAAGCGUUAUCCGGAUUUAUUGGGUUUAAAGGGUCCGUAGGCGGAUCUGUAAGUCAGUGGUGAAAUCUCAUAGCUUAACUAUGAAACUGCCAUUGAUACUGCAGGUCUUGAGUAAAGUAGAAGUGGCUGGAAUAAGUAGUGUAGCGGUGAAAUGCAUAGAUAUUACUUAGAACACCAAUUGCGAAGGCAGGUCACUAUGUUUUAACUGACGCUGAUGGACGAAAGCGUGGGGAGCGAACAGG
rnacentral:rRNA from 6 species